AUCACAUAGGGAUCUUGUUAAGAUGCAGAUUCUUGUUCAGUAGCUUUAGGUGUGUCCCUAGAUUUUGCAUGUCUAACAAGCUCCGAGAUGAUGCUGA
rfam:Pan troglodytes isolate Yerkes chimp pedigree #C0471 (Clint) chromosome 7, whole genome shotgun sequence.